UUUUGAAUUCCAACAGUCGAGAAGAGACUGAUCCCCGUCUGCUGAUUUAAAUUGAUGGUCUGACGGAAAUAUUAUUGUGCAGAUUUACACUAAAACACGAAACAGCCUGAACCGCGACAGUGUCACAAGUUGCCUUACAUUGGAAUCAGUAAAGCCAACUCCGACUAUAGUUGAAGCUUCAAACCCCUCCAUGCAAAAAGAGCCAGCAUUAAUAUGGAGGGUGUCAACAUUGUGAGCGCAGAAAUGGAUGUGAUGGAGGCAAUGGAGUGCCUCUUUGCUACUUAUUUCGUAUUCAGUGUGGAAUACCCCAAGCACAUCACUCACACGAUGAAUUUUGUUGAGCACUACCUGUUUAAACUCUCCUGCAGCCAAAAAAAAAACUGUCUGUCCAAGUGCUCAAAAUGUAUAAUCAAUUAUCAUAAUACUUAGAUAUGUCAUGAAUAGUGCUAAUGUACAUUUGUAAAUAUGAGGCGAUUGAUGUUAUUCUGAAAUGCUGAUCUGAAUUUGAAUCUGUAAUUACAAUUCUUUA